rnacentral:rRNA from 1 species
ACUACGGGGGGCUGCAGUGAGGAAUAUUGGUCAAUGGUCGGGAGACUGAACCAGCCAAGCCGCGUGAGGGAUGAAGGUACAGAGUAUCGUAAACCUCUUUUGUCAGGGAACAAAGGCGGGGACGUGUCCCCGGAUGAGUGUAUCUGAAGAAAAAGCAUCGGCUAACUCCGUGCCAGCAGCCGCGGUAAUACGGAGGAUGCGAGCGUUACCCGGUUUUAUUGGGGUAAAGGGGCGCGCAGGCGGUCUGUAAAGUAAGCGGUCAAAGCCCGGGGCUCAACCCGGGCCCGCCGUUGAAACUGGCAGUCUCGAGUUGGAGAGAAGUAUGCGGAAUGCGCGGUGUAGCGGUGAAAUGCGUAGAUAUCGCGCAGAACUCCGAUUGCGAAGGCAGCAUGCCGGCUCCACACUGACGCUGAGGCACGAAAGCGUGGGUAUCGAACAGGAUUAGAUACCCCAGUAGUC